rnacentral:rRNA from 1 species
AACGUACGCUGGCGGCACGCCUAACACAUGCAAGUCGAACGAAGUAGCAAUACUUAGUGGCAGACGGGUGAGUAACAUGUAGGUAUCUGCCCUUUGGCCUGGAAUAACACGAGGAAACUUGUGCUAAUACCGGAUAAGUCUUUACGGAGAAAGCUUUAUGCACCAUUGGAUGAGCCUGCACUUGAUUAGUUUGUUGGUGGGGUAAUGGCCUACCAAGACUGUGAUCAAUAGCUGAUUUGAGAGGAUGAUCAGCCACAUUGGGACUGAGACACGGCCCAAACUCCUACGGGAGGCAGCAGUGGGGAAUCUUGCACAAUGGAGGAAACUCUGAUGCAGCGAUGCCGCGUGAGUGAAGAAGGCCCUUGGGUUGUAAAGCUCUUUCGUCGGGGAAGAAAAUGACUGUACCCGAAUAAGAAGGUCCGGCUAACUUCGUGCCAGCAGCCGCGGUAAUACGAAGGGACCUAGCGUAGUUCGGAAUUACUGGGCUUAAAGAGUUCGUAGGUGGUUGAAAAAGUUGGUGGUGAAAUCCCAGAGCUUAACUCUGGAACUGCCAUCAAAACUUUUCAGCUAGAGUAUGAUAGAGGAAAGCAGAAUUUCUAGUGUAGAGGUGAAAUUCGUAGAUAUUAGAAAGAAUACCAAUUGCGAAGGCAGCUUUCUGGAUCAUUACUGACACUGAGGAACGAAAGCAUGGGUAGCGAAGAGGAUUAGAUACCCUCGUAGUCCAUGCCGUAAACGAUGUGUGUUAGACGUUGGGAAUUUAUUUUCAGUGUCGCAGCGAAAGCGAUAAACACACCGCCUGGGGAGUACGACCGCAAGGUUA